UACGUAGGGGGCGAGCGUUGUCCGGAGUUACUGGGCGUAAAGGGCAUGCAGGCGGUCAGGCGCGUUUUUGUGUGACAGCGGAUGGCUUAACUAUCCGAGGAUACGAGAUACGGUGUGACUUGAGAGCGCGAGAGGGACACGGAAUUCCGGGUGGAGUGGUGAAAUGCGUAGAGAUCCGGAGGAACACCGAAGGCGAAGGCAGUGUCCUGGCGCGUAUCUGACGCUGAGGUGCGAAAGCCAGGGGAGCGAACGGG
rnacentral:rRNA from 1 species